rnacentral:rRNA from 1 species
AUGGACGCACGGAUGCGGCUGGUAAUUCAGGCAGCAGCACUGAUUAGUGUGAUUCAAGCAUGGGUCAUGUUCAUGCACCAGAGAACUGUUCGUCGUGCUGGGAGACCUUUGACCCGCUACGGUCCAGUGUUUAUCCGGGAACAUGAGAGGAUCCAAAAUCUGAACUACAUCUACAACUGGAAUGAUGUCGAGGCUCUGUGGAUGCUUCAAAUGAAAAAAUCACCAUUUGCCAGGCUUGUCGAGACCUUCAGGAGUGGGCUGCUACAAGAUAACAUCAACACCAGUGUGGAAGAGCAAGUGGCCAUGUUCCUCCAUGUUGUUGGACAUAACCAGAGGUUCAGGGUCAUUCACAACACGUUCAAGAGAUCAAUGGAGACCAUCUCUAGGUACUUCAAGUAGGUGCCUUUUGCUAUUGGGGAGCUUAGAGGAGAGAUGAUCAGGAGACCAUCUGGCCGGACUCCACUUAAGAUUCACGGAAGCCCAACAUGGUAUCCAUACUUCAAGGUGAGCAUUGACAAUAUACACUUUUCAUGGCUUGAUAUUGUUCAAGUUGAGAACUAA